UAGGUCUCAGUUCAGAUUGCAGGCUGCAACCCGCCUGCAUGAAGUCGGAAUUGCUAGUAAUCGCGGAUCAGCAUGCCGCGGUGAAUACGUUCCCGGGCCUUGUACACACCNCCCGGGUCACACCAUGGGAGCCGGUAAUACCCGAAGUCAGUAGUCCAACCUCGUGAGGACGCUGCCGAAGGUAGGAUUGGCGACUGGGGUGAAGUCGUAACAAGGUAUC
rnacentral:rRNA from 1 species